rnacentral:rRNA from 1 species
GGUUUGAUUAUGGCUCAGAUUGAACGCUGGCGGGAUGCUUUACAUGCAAGUCGAACGGCAGCACGGACUUCGGUCUGUUGGCGAGUGGCGAACGGGUGAGUAAUGUAUCGGAACGUGCCUAGUAGCGGGGGAUAACUACGCAGCGUAGCUAAUACCGCAUACGCCCUUCGGGGAAAGCGGGGGACCUUCGGGCCUCGCACUAUUAGAGCGGCCGAUAUCGGAUUGGCUUAGUUGGUGGGGUAACGGCUCGCAAGGCGACGAUCGCGGUUUACAGAGGACGACCAGCCACACUGGGACACGGAGACACGGCCCAGACUCCGCACGGGAGGCAGCGAUGAGGAAUUUUGGACAAUGGAAGCACAGUCCAGCCAUCCCGCGUGUGCGAUGAAGGCCUUCAGUUGUAAAGCACUUUUGGCAGGAAAGAAACAGCGCAGGAUAAUACCCCGUGCAACUGACGGUACCUGCAGAAUAAGCACCGGCUAACUACGUGCCAGCAGCCGCGGUAAUACGUAGGGUGCAAGCGUUAAUCGGAAUUACUGGGCGUAAAGAUGCGGAAGCGGUUCGGAAAAGAAAGAUGGCCAGAAAUCCCAGAGCUUAACUUUGGAACUGCAUUUUUAACUACCGAGCUAGAGAGAGUGUGUCCAGGAGGUGGAAUUCAUGUAGCAGUGAAAUGCGUAGAUGUGCGGAAGACACCGAUGGCACGAAGGCAGCCUCCUGGGAUAACACUGACGCUCAUGCACGAAAGCGUGGGAGCAAGCUGGUUCAAGAUCACCUGGUGAUCCACGCCCUAAACGAUGUCAACUAGCUGUUGGGGCCUUCGGGCCUUGGUAGCGCAGCUAACGCGUGAAGUUGACCGCCUGGGAGUACGGUCGCAAGAUUAAAACUCAAAGGAAUUGACGGGGACCCGCACAGCAGGUGGAUGAUGUGGAUUAAUUCGAUGCGCAUAGCUUCUGCCGGCGUAUCUGGGAUAUCCGAAGAAGUUGCGGAGUGCUCGCAAAGGCGGAACAGGUGCUGCAUGGCUGUCGUCAGCUCGUGUCGUGAGAUGUUGGGUUAAGUAAGUCCCGCAACGAGCGCAACCCUUGUCAUUAGUUGCUACGAAAGGGCCUCUGUGGACCUGCCGGUGACAAACCGGAGGGGAAGGUGGAUGACGUCAAGUCCUCAUGGCCCUUAUGGGUAGGGCUUCACGUCAUACAAUGGUCAGGACGAGAGGUUAUCCAACCCGCGAGGGGAGCCAAUCCCGAAACCCGAUCAACAGUCAGAUCGCAGUCUGCAACUCGACUGCGUGAAGUCGGAAUCGCUAGUAAUCGCGGAUCAGCAUGUCGCGGUGAAUACGUUCCGGGUCUUGUACACACCGCCCGUCACACCAUGGGAGUGGGUUUUACCGAAGUAGUUAGCCCUAGCCGUAAGGAGGGCGAUUACCAUUUAAGUUCAUGACUGGGGUGAAGUCGUAACAAGGUAA